rnacentral:lncRNA from 1 species
AUUUCCGUUCGUUCAAACAUGUCAAACGUUGUAUAGCAUAAAUCAUUAGGGCCUUUUUUAACCAGAACAUGAAUAAUAUUCAAGGUGGACGAAUGCAUACUCUUUUAUAACGUAUUGGAACGAGGGUACCCAACAUGAACUCGCGCGAUAGGUGUCUAAUGGGCCAUCAUCGUUCCAUGGCUCUUGUUCGGUCAGAUCUCCCUCCAGAAGACUCAAAACACUUUGUAAAGGCUGGUGACAUCUAGUGGAAGCAAUAGGAAGUGCCAAAAUAUUCCUCAGCCCCUGUGUUUUUCAAUGGCAUAGGUUUAAAGGUAAUACAACACAUCAGGUAUCCACUUCCUGUCAGAAAAUGUCUCAG